CUACGUGCCAGCAGCCGCGGUAAUACGGAAGGUCCGGGCGUUAUCCGGAUUUAUUGGGUUUAAAGGGAGCGUAGGCUGGAGAUUAAGUGUGUUGUGAAAUGUAGACGCUCAACGUCUGACUUGCAGCGCAUACUGGUUUCCUUGAGUACGCACAACGUUGGCGGAAUYCGUCGUGUAGCGGUGAAAUGCUUAGAUAUGACGAAGAACUCCGAUUGCGAAGGCAGCUGACGGGAGCGCAACUGACGCUGAAGCUCGAAGGUGCGGGUAUCGAACAGGAUUAGAUACCCUGGUAGUCCGCACAGUAAACGAUGGAUGCCCGCUGUUGGUACCUGGUAUCAGCGGCUAAGCGAAAGCAUUAAGCAUCCCACCUGGGGAGUACGCCGGCAACGGUGAAACUCAAAGGAAUUGACGGGGGCCCGCACAAGCGGUGGAGCAUGUGGUUUAAUUCGAAGCAACGCGAAGAACCUUACCAGGUCUUGACAUCCCGAUGCUAUUUCUAGAGAUAGAAAGUUA
rnacentral:rRNA from 1 species